UACGAAGGGUGCAAGCGUUACUCGGAAUUACUGGGCGUAAAGCGUGCGUAGGUGGUUGUUUAAGUCUGUUGUGAAAGCCCUGGGCUCAACCUGGGAAUUGCAGUGGAUACUGGGCGACUAGAGUGUGGUAGAGGGUAGUGGAAUUCCCGGUGUAGCAGUGAAAUGCGUAGAGAUCGGGAGGAACAUCCAUGGCGAAGGCAGCUACCUGGACCAACACUGACACUGAGGCACGAAAGCGUGGGUAGCGAACAGG
rnacentral:rRNA from 1 species